rnacentral:tRNA from 1 species
CACGACCAGACUAUUCUGCGAAGAAGAAUGUCAAGUCGUGACGCGUUGAAGUAUUUAAUGAGCU